rnacentral:lncRNA from 1 species
CGGCUGUGCGCCCAGGACACCGCCCAGGAAUCCUCAGGCCUGGGCAGGCCCCCGGGACCAGGCAGGGACCCCCGGGGGCGGCAGCGGAGCAGGGGGCCUGGCGGGUACUCAGGAGGCUGCACAAGGUGGGCCCCGCUGUCCCAGGACCCGCAGCCUCUGCUGACCCCUGAGGCAUGUUUCCAGAGGACACAGGCCCCCAACUUUGGCUUGAGGGUGACUCCGGAGAAAUGGCCUGACACUCAGCGCUGGGCAGGGGCCUCCUCCCCGGUGUCCCCGGGCCCCACAUCCACAGAGCUAGCCCCGGAUGGAGUCAAGGGGCAUCAAACUGGGGACUCGACACAGCAAGAGCACAGGGCGUCCCGCUCUUGCUGUGAUCACAACUCUCACUGAGUCUGAGCCGUACGAUGCAGGAGAGAGAGGCCGUGAGGCUCCCCAGAAGCGGCAGCCAGUUAUCAGGGAACAAAGGGGCGUCUGCCGACAAACGGGGACCAGUCCCCUCGGCAGGUCGUCGCCUGGCCUGAGGGCCGUGGGCCCGCCACCUCGUGAGACAUGUGGGCCCCCCACUACGGCCCAGCCAAACCUGUGAUCUCUCCGCCUCAGUCGCCGCGUGGAGCAGGCCACACAGCCCCACACCAGGCCACUGCCGACGUCGCAGGAGCCAACCUUCUCUUCCAGAAGAGCCCCCACCCAGGGAUUCCCGCCAGUCCCCUGGGGAGGGCUCCGGACCCCUCAGGUGAAACAGCCGCCAGGGGUGGCCGGGCCAGGCAGCACGUGACGGCCCAGGCGGACCUCGGAGGGGGAAAGGCGGAGACAGAGGCAGGCCAGACCAAGGCUUCGGGAAGCGGGGGACACCCCGGCGGCUCCAGGAGGCCCCGGCCUGGAGCCUCAGUCCAGCCGCGGCCCGCGUCAGGCCAGGAGACAACGCUGAAUCACCAGCCGCCCCUGCCCGUGGCCUGUGUUCCUGGGGGCCCACCUUCUGGAAAAGCGCCUUCCUUCCCCGGAGUGGCCUCGCCAGCCCCGGGAGGCGCGGGCCCGGCCCCGCCCCGAAACCCGGGCUCAUCCAGCCCUGAUCACAGGCCAACAGAUGGCAGCCUCGCCUCCAGGCAUGAGAGCAGGGCUGCUAAGUGA